rnacentral:rRNA from 1 species
GAUGAACGCUGGCGGCGUGCCUAAUACAUGCAAGUCGAGCGAACAGACGAGGAGCUUGCUCCUCUGACGUUAGCGGCGGACGGGUGAGUAACACGUGGAUAACCUACCUAUAAGACUGGGAUAACUUCGGGAAACCGGAGCUAAUACCGGAUAAUAUAUUGAACCGCAUGGUGCAAUAGUGAAAGACGGUUUUGCUGUCACUUAUAGAUGGAUCCGCGCCGCAUUAGCUAGUUGGUAAGGUAACGGCUUACCAAGGCAACGAUGCGUAGCCGACCUGAGAGGGUGAUCGGCCACCCUGGAACUGAGCCACGGUCCAGACUCCUACGGGAGGCAGCAGUAGGGAAUCUUCCGCAAUGGGCGAAAGCUUGACGGAGCAACGCCGCGUGAGUGAUGAAGGUCUUCGGAUCGUAAAACUCUGUUAUUAGGGAAGAACAAAUGUGUAAGUAACUAUGCACGUCUUGACGGUACCUAAUCAGAAAGCCACGGCUAACUACGUG